rnacentral:rRNA from 1 species
UUGACCUCCGGAUCAGGUAGGGAUACCCGCUGAACUUAAGCAUAUCAAUAAGCGGAGGA